rnacentral:rRNA from 1 species
GACGAACGCUGGCGGCGUGCUUAACACAUGCCAGUCGAACGGUGAAGCGCCUUCCUUUUUGGUGGGUGUGGAUGAGUGGCGAACGGGUGAGUAACACGUGAGUAACCUGCCCCCUUCUUCUGGAUAACCGCAUGAAAGUGUGGCUAAUACGGGAUAUUCUGGGUCUGUCGCAUGAUGGGUCUGGGAAAGAUAUUGUUUCGGUGGGGGAUGGGCCCGCGGCCUAUCAGCUUGUUGGUGGGGUGAUGGCCUACCAAGGCGGUGACGGGUAGCCGGCCUGAGAGGGUGGACGGUCACACUGGGACUGAGACACGGCCCAGACUCCUACGGGAGGCAGCAGUGGGGAAUAUUGCACAAUGGGCGCAAGCCUGAUGCAGCGACGCCGCGUGAGGGAUGGAGGCCUUCGGGUUGUGAACCUCUUUCGCCAGUGAAGCAGGCCUGCCUCGUUUGUGGGUGGGUUGACGGUAGCUGGAUAAGAAGCGCCGGCUAACUACGUG